UAAUGAACUUAAAUGCUUUUUUAUUUUUUUUAUCUUACUAGCAAAGCGAACAAAGUCAAAGUAUUAGGUAAACGAUAAGCUUCUUAAAAAUCGGACUCUUAAAAGAUGUUAUUUUUGCCAGAAUGAUUGGCAUUUAGACCAAUAGGCUGUGCAAGAAUAUAAACUUAAAACAGAAUUAUAUAGGAUUCUGCACCUCCGUUGCUAACCAAUCAUUAAUCAAAGCAAUUAAUCUACAUCCAAGGGGAGCCCUACGUUCAGCUUCGGUGGUGCAAGACAAUAGUUUAAUAUAAGAAACUGGGUAACAUAUGCAAUCGUUGGAGCAACACAAUGUCUGUUGAUCACUAAAAUUGGACCCUCGGCCUAUGGAAUCAUCUGAACAUACAGAAGAUUUCUUUCACUCAUGUUUCAUCUACAUUGGACCUUUACAAAUUAAAUGCUCUAGAACGAGAGAUUUUUAAAGGAUAUAUAGCUCUUUUCGUGCCUAUGGUAACUACAGCUUUUCAUUUGGAUGAAGUCAGCGACUUAUCAGCAGAAUCGUUCUUCUCGAAAUAUCUACAAGGAGACAAAUGCGCACAUAUAUUAUAAAUAUAAAUGAAUGAAUGUACAGAAAUGUUAAUACUUACCAUCUUCCUGAUAGGAAGAUCAUUAUUCGAUGUUCCGGAAUAUGUUCACGAAAACGAAAGUGGAUUAUAGGAUGGGUCGUGUAACUUGAAACAAAUAGAAGGACGACUACAUAUUUACACUACACAAGUGACAGGUACUGAUAGCCAAAAAUUAACUCAUUCAUCCUGAGAAAUUAACAUUAGGAAGUUUAGUCGAAGUCUUUAGAAAAGGAAAUGAGAAAUUAGUAAACUGCAGAGAUGAGAAAUUCGGCCACGAGCUGAGUUCGAGGACAAUGACAAUUACGACAUAUCAGUUAAAAUUGGCGACAGAAUCUCUUUAAAUAACGAGAUCUAUAUGUUCCAAAUCUAAGAAAUUUUUUGAUAUUUGCAAAAGAAUCUUCACCGAUAUGUGUUCAGUAAUGAAAUAUGCAAGAGUCAGGGUCUAAAACACCUAACCCAGAAGAAUAAAGUAUUAAUAUAAAACGGAACAACAUCGCAGUCAAGUGUAUGGUCCUUCAAUUCAAUCUACAAGGCUGCUAAACGUGUUGUGAAGAGUGUAAAGGUAAAGUGAUAAAUUGUUUAAAGAUUUUUUCUUUAGCUUUCCAGUAGAGUAGAGUAGAGGCACAACGCGGUCAAAACAAAAAGACAAUACCUCCAACAGUUCAAGCCAUAGAGUAAAUUAGUAACGAAUUUAUACAUAAAGAACAUAAACAAGAUACUUACGGCAAACACUCAACUCAAGUUGCUAAAAAGCAAUCAGAUAUUUAUGAUAGUUAUGAUAAGAUCCGGCAGUCGUUGAUAAAUUGGCAGCAGAAUUUGACCAUAAAUUUUUUAAGGAGAAAAUAUAAGAUGACAUAAUGGAAACGGUCAAGACCCAUUAAAAGUCCCUGAUGAAAGUCGAAGUUGCCGAUCACGCCUUAGAAACCGACAAAACAGCAUCUAGCGAAAACAGCAUAGUUCAACCAAAAACGUCCAAGGCAAAACUUAGUCAGCAUAAAGAUAUAAAGGUUGACAGAAGAACUCAAAAAAUGGAGCUCAGCAACCAAAAAAUCCUUGAUUAUAAAAAAAUAUUAAUAUUCUUGUGAAGCAUUCAGUCAAUACUCACUGACUUAGAAACAAAAUAUGAGAAAUUUUUCUCUGGCAUCGAUGAGAUUGCUGAGCUGGGAUGCAACGUCAGCUUACUCACAAGAAAACUAAACAGAAAAGUAUAAGAAUUGCAAAACAUAAAAUACGGCAUUCGUUCCAGAGCAACCGAAAGUGGAUCUUCCUCACUUUAAUGGAAGUCCCAAAGAGUGGCUAAUGUUAUCAGCGUCACAAGAGAGCUGAACUACCUGAAAUCAUUCAAAGAAAAAGUCAAAAUGGUCGUAGGCUCAUUGGCCAUUGGCUCGUCUGCUAACUACAACCCAGCGUGGGACCUUAUAACGCCGUUAACCAACUAUGGACAUGGGACUGCUGAAGAACAAUGAUGAAGCCCGUAUCCACAAGAUCUUGAACUCAGCGACGGAGUGUAUUUUGAUCAUCAAAGAAAAAGGUGAAUUUAGUUAUGAUGCUGAUCUGUUCUAUUCGCUCGGAUUUUGUUGCGACGUCUCUCCGUGGAAGUCAUACAACUAGCAAUAUGUAAGGAAGACUAGAGAGAUCCUUUGCUUUCAUUCCUUCGAUAACCUGCUGGAUUUUAUUGAGAAACUGUAUAACUCAAUAGACUCAGUGCAAAACGGUGCUGUCCAUACGUCGAGUGAAGCAAAGACAACGAGCUACAAAAUAUGCCGUUUUUGCCAACUGGCUUGCCAUGAAAUAACCAGGUGUGAGAAAUUUAGAGCUGAACUUGUUAAAAAGUGCAAGGAGAUUGUGAAUAAAAUCGCGCUAUGUUAUAAGUGUCUAUCCAUUGCAUUAAAGACGACAUGCAAUCAAUGCGUCAAAUCACACAACAAUUUGCUUGGGUGCAAAAGAAAAAGUAACCGUCAGCACAAAUUGUCUAAAAGAAAAAAGCGCUAGAUACAUUGCUGGUGACUGCGCUAAUUAAAAAUUUAUAUUAGAAUUAAGUGUGGAAAAGACUCGCAGUUCAAUAAGGAAAUUCAAGUAAAAAGCAUUCAUUAAAAGAGUAAAUUGCUAAUUUGUAUUUCGAUUUCGUUUGAAAUAAUAAAUAUUAACAAUAUGAAAACACUUCAAAAACCUACAAAAUUUAACAAACAACGUUGGUAACCAGGCGAGAGCUAUCGAUGCAAUAAAAACCUUGGUAAACAAGUCAGAAUGGUCUAGUCGGAGUGUCCGACUAGCAGAUACCCUGUUCAAAAUCCUAUGUGUUUAUUUUAAUAUUUUAAAUAAUUGUAUCGAGUAUUAAAAAACAUAAAAACCGAGAUUCAAACCAACGUUGCCUACGCGCAUCAGCUCUA